AUUGAACGCUGGCGGCAUGCUUUACACAUGCAAGUCGAACGGCAGCGCGGGCUUCGGCCUGGCGGCGAGUGGCGAACAGGUGAGUAAUACAUCGGAACGUGCCCAGUAGUGGGGGAUAGCUCGGCGAAAGCCGGAUUAAUACCGCAUACGACCUGAGGGUGAAAGCGGGGGAUCUUCGGACCUCGCGCUAUUGGAGCGGCCGAUGGCAGAUUAGCUAGUUGGUGGGGUAAAGGCCUACCAAGGCGACGAUCUGUAGCUGGUCUGAGAGGACGACCAGCCACACUGGGACUGGGACACGGCCCGGACUCCUACGGGAGGCAGCAGUGGGGAAUUUUGGACAAUGGGCGAAAGCCUGAUCCAGCAAUGCCGCGUGUGUGAUGAAGGCCUUCGGGUUGUAAAGCACUUUGGCGGGAACGAAAAGGACUGUGCCAAUACCACGGUUCGAUGACGGUACCCGCAGAAUAAGCACCGGCUAACUACGUG
rnacentral:rRNA from 1 species